GGAUGAGGGAGGAGACCAAAGGAGCCUGAGCUUCAUCAUGUGUGUUGAAAGGAAGUCCUGUAUUGCCAAAGAAACCAGUGCUACCCAUCAAUAAUAGAAGACAGACUCACAAAUGUAAACAUUAUCCAAAUAAAAGAGCAUCGCAAUAGCUGACUGAGAGAAGGAUCAUCUUCCUUGGAGACGGAGUGCAUUUGAAGAAGGAAUGAUCGGAGUCACCCAAGCCCGAAGGCAGCCUAACAAAACUCACAGUUGCAGCAGAAUACAUCCUGGGGAAGACAGGGAGAACUCCUGUCAAGAAGGACAGAGACCUAAAGAAAAUUUGAUUUCAGUCCGUAGGUUCUCAUGGGGACGGAUCAGAUAUGAGCGUGACCCAGCCCUCAUGUU